UGGGGAAUUUUGGACAAUGGGCGAAAGCCUGAUCCAGCAAUGCCGCGUGUGUGAAGAAGGCCUUCGGGUUGUAAAGCACUUUUGUCCGGAAAGAAAUCCUUGGCUCUAAUACAGUCGGGGGAUGACGGUACCGGAAGAAUAAGCACCGGCUAACUACGUGCCAGCAGCCGCGGUAAUACGUAGGGUGCAAGCGUUAAUCGGAAUUACUGGGCGUAAAGCGUGCGCAGGCGGUUUGCUAAGACCGAUGUGAAAUCCCCGGGCUCAACCUGGGAACUGCAUUGGUGACUGGCAGGCUAGAGUAUGGCAGAGGGGGGUAGAAUUCCACGUGUAGCAGUGAAAUGCGUAGAGAUGUGGAGGAAUACCGAUGGCGAAGGCAGCCCCCUGGGCCAAUACUGACGCUCAUGCACGAAAGCGUGGGGAGCAAACAGGAUUAGAUACCCUGGUAGUCCACGCCCUAAACGAUGUCAACUAGUUGUUGGGGAUUCAUUCCUUAGUAACGUAGCUAACGCGUGAAGUUGACCGCCUGGGGAGUACGGUCGCAAGAUUAAAACUCAAAUGAAUUGACGGGGU
rnacentral:rRNA from 1 species